rnacentral:rRNA from 1 species
UCCCCGGUUGAUCCUGCCGGACCCGACUGCUAUCAGAGUGGGACUAAGCCAUGCGAGUCAACAUAGCAAUAUGUGGCAUACGGCUCAGUAACACGUAGUCAACAUGCCCAGGGGACGUGGAUAACCUCGGGAAACUGAGGAUAAACCGCGAUAGGUCAUCACUUCUGGAAUGGGUAAUGACUUAAAUCUAUAUGGCCCCUGGAUUGGACUGCGGCCGAUCAGGCUGUUGGUGAGGUAAUGGCCCACCAAACCUAUUACCGGUACGGGCUCUGAGAGGAGGAGCCCGGAGAUGGGCACUGAGACAAGGGCCCAGGCCCUAUGGGGCGCAGCAGGCGCGAAACCUCUGCAGUAGGCGAAAGCUUGACAGGGUUACUCUGAGUGAUUUCCGCUAAGGGAAUCUUUUGGCACCUCUAAAAAUGGUGCAGAAUAAGGGGUGGGCAAGUCUGGUGUCAGCCGCCGCGGUAAUACCAGCACCCCGAGUGGUCGGGACGUUUAUUGGGCCUAAAGCAUCCGUAGCCGGUUCUACAAGUCUUCCGUUAAAUCCACCUGCUUAACAGAUGGGCUGCGGAAGAUACUAUAGAGCUAGGAGGCGGGAGAGGCAAGCGGUACUCGAUGGGUAGGGGUAAAAUCCGUUGAUCCAUUGAAGACCACCAGUGGCGAAGGCGGCUUGCCAGAACGCGCUCGACGGUGAGGGAUGAAAGCUGGGGGAGCAAACCGGAUUAGAUACCCGGGUAGUCCCAGCUGUAAACGAUGCAGACUCGGUGAUGAGUUGGCUUCUUGCCAACUCAGUGCCGCAGGGAAGCCGUUAAGUUUGCCGCCUGGGGAGUACGGUCGCAAGACUGAAACUUAAAGGAAUUGGCGGGGGAGCA